rnacentral:SRP_RNA from 2 species
GCUGGGCGUGGUGGCGCACGCCUGUAGUCCCAGCUACUCGGGAGGCUGAGGCAGAAGAAUUGCUUGAACCCGGGAGGCGGAGGUUGCAGUGAGCCAAGAUUGUGCCACUGCACUCCAGCCUGGGCAACAGAGCGAGACUCUGUCUCAA